GUUCAUCCUGGAGGCAGCGAGUACUGCUCGAAGGCAAAUGGACAGCACGCACUCACAUCCUUAGUUUUACAGAAACUGCUUUACUGUGGAUAGUAUCUGUUGCUGUAAGGAAGACAGCAAAUUGGGAGAUAGAAACAAAGAAGAGUUGGAGCUAUGGAAGUUGUUGAGAAGAAAGAAGUUUCGGGGUAUACGUAAAGACAGCAGAAAAGAGGAGAGGCAGACAAGUGGGGGACAGAAAGAAAAGCCAGGUAUAACUGUGGUAAGAAGCUCUCCCAGGGGAAAACUGCUGACGUACUCCACAACUCUAAUAGUGUUUUUAUACUAUGGGUAAGUUAAUAUAUUUAAUUCUGAUGUGCUUUAUAACCUUGUAUGUAUAGUAUAUUUGAACUGCAAAGCACUGUUAUACUUGGCCAAAAUAAAAAAGUAAAUUCAAACUUUUUUUAAUCCAGUCAAACAGCUUGAGCUAUUAUAUUUAGCCAUUAUGGACCCCAGCAGAGGUCUAGGAAUCUCAUUAAGAAUGUAAAUGUCAGGUAGGUCACUUAAGAACCUCAUUAUGGGGAAGAACCCAAGUAUCAAAAGUGGUUAUACAUAACAUAAAUGGCUGGCCAACUUGAAUAUUGCAGAAGAGAAAUCCUGCAGAGCUCUGUAAUGUAGUUUAAUUGGAAUGACAAUUACUACCAGCUUUAUCUUGAUAUAAUGAAGAUUAAGUGUAUGGAUAACUAGACCUGUGCUUAAGCA
rnacentral:lncRNA from 1 species